CAGAGUGAACGCUGGCGGCAGGCCUAAUACAUGCAAGUCGAACGGCAGCACAGCAGAGCUUGCUCUGGUGGGUGGCGAGUGGCGGACGGGUGAGGAAUACGUGGGAAUCUGCCCAGUCUGGGGGAUAACGUAGGGAAACUUACGCUAAUACCGCAUGCGCCCUUCGGGGGAAAGCCGGGGACCUUCGGGCCUGGCGCGAUUAGAUGAGCCCACGUCGGAUUAGCUAGUUGGCGGGGUAAAGGCCCACCAAGGCGACGAUCCGUAGCUGGUCUGAGUGGAUGAUCAGCCACACUGGAACUGAGACACGGUCCAGACUCCUACGGGAGGCAGCAGUAGGGAAUAUUGGACAAUGGGCGCAAGCCUGAUCCAGCCAUGCCGCGUGAGUGAAGAAGGCCCACGGGUUGUAAAGCUCUUUUGUCCGGAAAGAAAAGCGCCGGGUUAAUACCCUGGUGUCCUGACGGUACCGGAAGAAUAAGCACCGGCUAACUUCGUG
rnacentral:rRNA from 1 species